rnacentral:rRNA from 1 species
GUCAAGUGAAUAAGAGCAUAUGGUGGAUGCCUUGGCGAUGAUAGGCGACGAAAGACGUGAUAGCCUGCGAAAAGCUUCGGGGAGCUGGCAAAUAAGCUUUGAUCCGGAGGUGUCUGAAUGGGGAAACCCACCCUUAGGGGUAUCCUGAGCUGAAUACAUAGGCUCAGGAGGCGAACCGGGUGAACUGAAACAUCUCAGUAGCUCGAGGAAAAAAAAAAAAAC